rnacentral:tRNA from 1 species
UUUAUGUAGCUUAACUUAUCCAAAGCAAGACACUGAAAAUGCCUAGAUGGGUUCAUAAAACCUCAUAAACAA